rnacentral:misc_RNA from 1 species
GGGGAUUGUGACAUCAUUUCAGAAUAUCCUUGACAACAUCUUUCUGCCCUUGUUUGAGGUUACUGUUGACCCAGAUUCACAUCCCCACCUGCACAUCUUCUUGAAGCAGGUUGUUGGAUUGGAUUUGGUGGAUGAUGAAAGCAAACCAGAAAGAAGGCCUACCAAACACAUGCCUACACCUGCUCAAUGGACUAACGUAUUCAAUCCUGCAUUCUCAUACUAUGUCUACUAUUGUUAUGCUAAUCUCUACACCCUGAACAAGUUGCGUGAGUCAAAAGGCAUGACGACCAUCAAAUUCCGGCCACAUGCUGGGGAGGCUGGAGAUAUUGACCACCUUGCAGCAACAUUUUUAACAUCCCAUAAUAUUGCUCAUGGUAUCAAUUUGAGGAAGUCUCCGGUACUUCAGUACUUAUAUUACUUGGCUCAGAUUGGUUUGGCAAUGUCUCCUCUUAGUAACAAUUCUUUAUUUUUGGACUACCAUCGGAAUCCUUUGCCCAUGUUCUUCUUGAGGGGCCUGAAUGUUUCUCUUUCAACGGAUGAUCCCUUGCAAAUUCACUUAACAAAAGAAGCCCUGGUUGAAGAGUAUAGUAUAGCUGCGUCAGUUUGGAAGUUGAGUUCGUGCGAUUUAUGUGAGAUUGCCCGCAAUUCAGUUUACCAGUCUGGUUUCUCACAUGCACUAAAGUCCCACUGGAUUGGGAAGGAGUAUUACAAGAGAGGACCAGAUGGAAAUGAUAUUCAUAGGACAAAUGUGCCUCAUAUCAGGCUUGAAUUCCGUGAUAUGAUAUGGAGGGAGGAGAUGCAACAGGUUUAUCUAGGCAAGGCUGUAUUUCCUUCAUUUGUUGACCCAUGAUGUGCAUUGGUAAUGCAUUUAUAUCAGUUACAAGAGUACAGAUUCAGAAUAUCUGGAGGCUUGGCCAUCUAGCGACUCUAGAAAGGUUCUCCACUAUGAGAUAUAUCUAGAAUUUGGAUGUUGAGGGGAAAAUAAGGUUGGAUGAGUGCUAGACCUUAUCAUUUGAUGAUGUGGUAGUAACAUUCAAUAAGAGUGAUCUAUGAAGACCGGUAAUUGAGGAAGCAACUGGAGCUCUAGCAUAAAUAGCACAACUGCAAAGCAAUCCACUAUCUCAAUAAGGAAUUAUGUAUAAUAUAUCCGAAUGGUAGGUUAACAAACAUCAGAUGCAUCGUAAGAUAUAUUCUGAAUGUUGCAUGGUCCCAUUGUACUAUAUUGACGUGUUGGCUAAAUAAAAAGAUCGAUUGC